UACGUAGGGUGCGAGCGUUAAUCGGAAUUACUGGGCGUAAAGCGUGCGUAGGCGGUCUCGCAAGUCCGAUGUGAAAUCCCCGGGCUUAACCUGGGAACUGCGUUGGAAACUAUGAGGCUAGAGUGCGGCAGAGGGGGGUGGAAUUCCAGGUGUAGCAGUGAAAUGCGUAGAGAUCUGGAGGAACACCGAUGGCGAAGGCAGCCCCCUGGGUUAGCACUGACGCUCAUACACGAAAGCGUGGGGAGCAAACAGG
rnacentral:rRNA from 1 species